GGACACCUCAGGUAAAAGGUUAGCCCACUCCCACUUGUUGUCUGCAACCCUAUAAGAGGCUGCUGAAGUUCCUCCUCUUCAGUCUUUCUCCUGCAUUGACUGAGCAAGGACUGUCUGUUGCUGCAGCUGCAAUCCACCUCCAGGAAAUCCACUGCAAUGGGUGGACUUUCCUAGCAUGUGCAAGCUAAUCUGUCAGCCAGGACCUGGGAGGGGUCCCAACUCUUCCUCCAUAGACUUGGCUGCAUGUUCCUGCCUCCUCUCUUGUAUGGGAUACAGUGAUUGUACGGCCACGAGACGAGUCAGAUGAGUUUGUUGAUCCAUUGGCGAGUGAAUCCAACAAGCUGAUGCAGCUUACGUGGUUGAAGGAAGAGGAGGACUGAGUAGAGAUAACACAUUUCAGAAUAAAGGACUGAAUGUAACAUGAAUCAGUGUAACGUUUAUUCUUGUCUGUCACUGUUAUUACUUAACACACCGAAGAGUUUUUUCUAUCAUAAAAUGAUCAGGAGAUGUAAGAACUGCUGGGAAGAGUUGUUUAAUUCUUAACUAAAUGUCUGGCUAACAUGUCAAAUACAGCAAUUCUGGAGUAAGCCUGAGCAAAAUGUAAUCAGUAUCCAA